rnacentral:lncRNA from 1 species
GAUGCAAUCCCAGUCAGAAGAAAAUGUGAAGUUGAUUGAGUAUUACUCCUCAGAUUCUGGAAUCCACAGGGAAUCAGUUUUUCUUUAUUCUACUAUUAUUUGUCAAGUGUCUAUAGUCACAGUGUGACUAUCACGGCAGAAAAAUCUUAGAACAGCAGACCCCCAAACAGCAAUUUAACGGGCUCCUAUUGAUGAUUUUAUAUAUUAACACGUGAACUUACAUGAAUUUAUAGAUUAACAUAUUAUGGAACUGAUCCUGUUUAUUUCAGAUUCUUAUGCUUCCAUGCUCUCUAGCAAGUUACCAAAUUUCAAGUUCUCAGAAGGCAUAAAAAGUGGGGUACCUAAUAUGGAACAGAGACUGAAGAGGGACGAGAUAAAGUAUGAGCGUUUGCGUGCUAAACCAAAAUCAGUCAAAAAUGUAGCUCCUACUUUUUACUAUACUCAUUUUGUACAUUUGCCAUACCUUGGGAUCUGGAGGAAGAAGUCAACUGAGUACUGUUGUAAAGCCUUGUCUCCUCGAGAUCUGUCUGACCUCAGCCAGGCAAAUGCUUCGCAGAGCCCAGAAUGCCUUAUUUCUGUGAAUUUUCCCUAUCAUGGUGUGAGGACAGAACAAUGACUCCCAGACAUGUGUGCCGAGUCACAGAGACCCGGAGGAAGAAGGAGGCCUCCACAGUGUGUACAAAUGAUGGCACUCACCCACAACCUUACCCAGUCCCUUGCUUCUUGAAGCUUAUGUAGCCCUGGAGGGAAAGGUAGGUGCUUCAUUAACUUCUGUUCCCUUUAUGUACCAUAUAGGGACUAGGGGCUAAAAAUAACCAGUGCUUGCCCUUGUGUGUGUUACUGUUAGUGUGUAUGUAUGUGUGUUAAAGAGAGACAGAAA